rnacentral:rRNA from 1 species
UAGGGAAUCUUCCGCAAUGGGCGAAAGCCUGACGGAGCAACGCCGCGUGAGUGAUGAAGGUCUUCGGAUCGUAAAACUCUGUUAUUAGGGAAGAACAAAGGUGUAAGAAACUAUGCACGCCUUGACGGUACCUACUCAGAAAGCCACGGCUAACUACGUGCCAGCAGCCGCGGUAAUACGUAGGUGGCAAGAGUUAUCCGUAAUUAUUGGGCGUACAGCGCGCGGAGGCGGUUUUUUAAGUCUGAUGUGACAGGCCACGGCUCAACCGUGGAGGGUCAUUGGAAACUGGAAAACUUGAGUGCAGGAGAGGAAAGUGGAAUUCCAUGUGUAGCGGUGAAAUGCGCAGAGAUAUGGAGGAACACCAGUGGCGAAGGCGACGUUCUGGUCUGUAACUGACGCUGAUGUGCGAAAGCGUGGGGAUCAAACAGG